UACAGAGGGUGCAAACGUUGUUCGGAAUUACUGGGCGUAAAGCGCGUGCAGGCGGCCUUGCAAGUCGGACGUGAAAUCCCACGGCUCAACCGUGGAAGUGCAUUCGAAACUGCGAGGCUGGAGUCCUGGAGAGGAAAGUGGAAUACUCGGUGUAGAGGUGAAAUUCGUAGAUAUCUGGAGGAACACCGGUGGCGAAGGCGGCAUCCUGGACCGAGAUUGACGCUGAGGCGCGAAAGCCAGGGGAGCAAACGGG
rnacentral:rRNA from 1 species